rnacentral:rRNA from 1 species
AUUGAACGCUGGCGGCAUGCUUUACACAUGCAAGUCGAACGGUAACAGGCCGCAAGGUGCUGACGAGUGGCGAACGGGUGAGUAAUGCAUCGGAACGUGCCCAGUCGUGGGGGAUAACUACUCGAAAGAGUAGCUAAUACCGCAUACGAUCUAUGAAUGAAAGCGGGGGACCGUAAGGCCUCGCGCGAUUGGAGCGGCCGAUGUCAGAUUAGGUAGUUGGUGGGGUAAAGGCUCACCAAGCCAACGAUCUGUAGCUGGUCUGAGAGGACGACCAGCCACACUGGGACUGAGACACGGCCCAGACUCCUACGGGAGGCAGCAGUGGGGAAUUUUGGACAAUGGGCGCAAGCCUGAUCCAGCAAUGCCGCGUGCAGGAAGAAGGCCUUCGGGUUGUAAACUGCUUUUGUACGGAACGAAACGGCUCUGGUUAAUACCCGGGGCUAAUGACGGUACCGUAAGAAUAAGCACCGGCUAACUACGUG